AGUCGAACGAUUAAAGCUCUCUUCGAAGAGUGCAUAGAGUGGCGCACGGGUGAGUAACACGUAAGUAAUCUACCUUUGAGUGGGGAAUAACAGUCGGAAACGACUGCUAACACCGCAUAAUGCAGCGGCAUCGCAAGAUGACAGUUGUUAAAGGAGCAAUCCGCUUAAAGAGGAGCUUGCGGCAGAUUAGCUUGUUGGUAAGGUAACGGCUUACCAAGGCUACGAUCUGUAUCCGGUCUUAGAGGACGGUCGGACACACUGACACUGAACAACGGGUCAGACUCCUACGGGAGGCAGCAGUCGGGAAUUUUGGGCAAUGGGCGAAAGCCUGACCCAGCAACGCCGCGUGAAGGAUGAAGUAUUUCGGUAUGUAAACUUCGAAAGAAUAGGAAGAAUAAAUGACGGUACUAUUUAUAAGCUCCGGCUAACUACGUGCCAGCAGCCGCGGUAAUACGUAGGGAGCAAGCGUUGUUCGGAUUUACUGGGCGUAAAGGGCGCGUAGGCGGCGCGGUAAGUCACUUGUGAAAUCUCUGAGCUUAACUCAGAACGGCCAAGUGAUACUGCAGUGCUAGAGUGCAGAAGGGGCAAUCGGAAUUCUUGGUGUAGCGGUGAAAUGCGUAGAUAUCAAGAGGAACACCUGAGGUGAAGACGGGUUGCUGGGCUGACACUGACGCUGAGGCGCGAAAGCCAGGGGAGCAAACGGGAUUAGAUACCCCGGUAGUCCUGGCCCUAAACGAUGAAUACUUGGUGUCUGGAGAUUUAAUGYUCCGGGUGCCGUCGCUAACGUUUUAAGUAUUYCGSCYKGGGGAGUACGCUCGCAGAAGUGAAACUCAAAGGGAAUUGACGGGGACCCGCACAAGCGGUGGAGCAUGUGGUUUAAU
rnacentral:rRNA from 1 species